rnacentral:rRNA from 1 species
GGCGAACGGGUGAGUAAUGCAUCGGAACAUGUCCAGUCGUGGGGGAUAGCCCGCCGAAAGGCGGAUUAAUACCGCAUACGCCCGGGAGGGGAAAGCAGGGGACCGCAAGGCCUUGCGCGAUUGGGUUGGCCGAUGUCCGAUUAGCUAGUUGGUGGGGUAAAGGCUUACCAAGGCGAUGAUCGGUAGCUGGUCUGAGAGGAUGAUCAGCCACACUGGGACUGAGACACGGCCCAGACUCCUACGGGAGGCAGCAGUGGGGAAUUUUGGACAAUGGGGGCAACCCUGAUCCAGCCAUUCCGCGUGAGUGAAGAAGGCCUUCGGGUUGUAAAGCUCUUUUGUCCGGAGCGAAACGGGCGCGGCUAAUACCUGCGUCUACUGACGGUACCGGAAGAAUAAGCACCGGCUAACUACGUGCCAGCAGCCGCGGUAAUACGUAGGGUGCGAGCGUUAAUCGGAAUUACUGGGCGUAAAGCGUGCGCAGGCGGUUUUGUAAGCCAGAUGUGAAAUCCCCGGGCUUAACCUGGGAAUGGCAUUUGGGACUGC